rnacentral:lncRNA from 1 species
UAGAAGAUAAAGGUUUUUAUUUUAAAAAAGGUAUGGUUUUGAAUUUAAAAAUAUUACAGUUUCAGAGAUCAAAGUCAUGGGAACCCUAAAGGACAAGGAGAGAAGAACAUGGAUACAAGUAGCCUGUAGCUACCUUCAGAGGGAGACAUAUUCAAGAAAGGGUAUAAGUGGGAUCAAAAUGGCAGAGAGUAUUGAAUUCAAUUCUGGUCAUCACAUUUUAAGGAAGAUACCAAUAGUGAAUGGAGAGCAUCCAGAGGAAAAGUGAAAAGACUAUCAACCUUGGCACUUUAAGAUCAAUUGAAUGAAUUUGAAUAAUCUAAUAAAGGCAAGACAUGGAGUGUACA